UACGGGGGGGGCAAGCGUUGUUCGGAAUUACUGGGCGUAAAGGGCUCGUAGGCGGCCAACUAAGUCAGACGUGAAAUCCCUCGGCUUAACCGGGGAACUGCGUCUGAUACUGGAUGGCUUGAAUUCGGGAGAGGGGUGCGGAAUUCCAGGUGUAGCGGUGAAAUUCGUAGAUAUUCGCAAGAACACCAGUGGCGAAGGCGGCCGACUGGUCCGGUUCUGACGCUGAGGCGCGAAAGCGUGGGGAGCAAACAGG
rnacentral:rRNA from 1 species